rnacentral:rRNA from 1 species
UACGUAGGGCGCAAGCGUUAUCCGGAAUUAUUGGGCGUAAAGAGCUCGUAGGCGGUUUGUCGCGUCUGCCGGUGAAAAGUCCGGGGCUCAACUCCGGAUCUGCGGUGGGUACGGGCAGACUAGAGUGUGGUAGGGGGAGACUGGAAUUCCUGGUGUAGCGGUGGAAUGCGCAGAUAUCAGGAGGAACACCGAUGGCGAAGGCAGGUCUCUGGGCCACUACUGACGCUGAGAAGCGAAAGCAUGGGGAGCGAACAGG